CUAAACACUUGACCGGUUGAAAGUGAAAGGAGUGAACUACACAAAAUUCAAUAUUAGGUAGAUUUGUUACCGUUACAAUACAGCAGAAACAAUAAGUGCCAGCAGAAAAUUUACAUUCAUAAAUGUAGUCGUCGUAGAAACGUGGCUUUGGGUGCAAAGCAUUUUAAGACAAGACAAAUCGGUUGAAUACCGUUUAAUGAUAAAUCAACGCCAUAUUAUACACCAUGUUCAUUUAAAAAGUAUUGAAUGUCUUGUAAGUUGAAGACACAAUGUGCCGCUUUGUCUGUUAAAUUCCACGUAUUUAUUGUAUGUCUUAUAAAAGCGGUCGGUUCACUGACCAAGGAUAAUGGGCCGAGAAAAUUGUCAACACUGAUUUCUGUCAGAACUGUAACUCGUAAAAUGAGGUCAAAUGCACUGUAUCAGACGAACUCCCGUGAGAACCACCGGAUAUAGGCACCAUUAUUCAAUUAUGGCUAUUAUAAUGUAAACUGCCAUCAGAUGUGCUUACUAUUCACCCCGUGCUUAUAAAUUCAAGCAAAGAAUCGAGACUGAAAUCUGUGGAGUUAUAACCAUGGAGAGAUUGCACCUGACCUUGAGGACGCUUUUACUGUUGUGUGUGGUAUACAAUGUAUAUACAUACAAUAUUACCGACGAGGACCAGCUCCACAAAGAUCUGUUCACUAAUUACAACAACGAACUCCGUGCUGGAAAUGACCGGGACUUUCCACUCAACGUAUCCAUGACAUUCUAUUUGAUGGCUAUCAAAGAAUUCGUGGAGGCCACGAGUAAAUUCUCGGUGAAUAGUGUGUUUAUAAUAACGUGGCGAGACGAACGAUUAUCAUGGAACCCAGCGAUGUACCAAAAUAUUCAGAAGACAAUGGUUUCUCAAAAUAAGAUCUGGUUGCCAACCAUGGUUACCUCAAACCCUUUUGAGGAAGCCCAGGGACUUGGAAGUGAUUUGGUAAAAGUUUUUCUGUACAAUGAUGGUUCGUGUGUUUGGGUCAUCAUGCAGUCUUUCGAAGUUAUAUGUGACGCCAAUGUGAAAUACUAUCCAUUCGAUAAGCAGUUUUGUUCGAUCAGAUUUGGUACAUACUCUUUUGACUCGAAUUGGCUUAAUAUAACGUUUCCAAAUUCAGACAUCAAUUUGAUUUACUAUGAGGAAAAUGGCUUAUGGGAGAUCGAGGACACCUUGGCAUUUAGUACUGUCGAUCGCGGCGCCGCGGAAAUCAUAUUUGGAAUAUACUUGAAACGUCGAUCUACUUAUUACAUAGCCAGUCUGUUAGUCCCUAUGACGUUUGUAGCUGUUUUACAGUCAUUCGUUUUCCUACUUCCGAACGAGUCGGGAGAGAGGAUAGGAUUUUCCGUGACAAUGUUACUGGCGAGCGUCGUGUUUCUGACUCUUAUUCAGGAGAAACUUCCGGAAUCAUCCGAGCCCAGCGUCUCCAUACUGGGUUACCUGUUGCUAGGAUACAUUUCCCUUGGAGUAUUAAAGAUGUCCCCCCUGCGCAACGGGAGGAUGGUUUUAAAGAACAAUGCGAGUUGUGUUGGAAGAAAAUUGGCAUGAAGUUUGACCGAUUCUGUUUUGUAAUGUCUAUAAUUUUGUAUGUUGUACAAGUUAUCAUUUUCAUUGCUAUCGUACGUGAUUGACAAGGCUUUGGAGAUGUCGCCAAAGUCAAAUGAGUUUAUACAGCAUCAGAGCCUUUAUUCAUAUAUGUACAUUGUAUACGUUUUUUGAUUUUUAAGUUAAAUUUAGAUAUCUUUUUGUCUUGAUUGUUAUCAAAAUAAAGUUUCAUUGCAAGUCAAAUUUUGGAUCAUGAUAACUUUAAACAGGUCAGAAACAAUCUACGAAAUUGGAUAUAAUGCCCUAAAUGGGAUAAAAAUUUGAAGAGCAAAUUUUAAAUGUCUGAUUUAGAAAUUUAUAAUCAAUCCGCAUAAAUUCAUAACCAAUGCAACAACUUUUGGUUAGCAACUUUUGUUUGUAAGAUUGACCCCCAAGAAGUUAUGGAUAUACUGAGGGAUCAGUAUCUGAAACAGUGGGGUUACAAAAUAAAAUUGGCCAAUGGUUGUUACAUAUCAUUCAGUCUACGGCGGAUUUGACUCAUAUUUUGCAAAAUAAAAAAUUUGUCUUUUUUUGCACUUCAAAUUUAUAUCCCAUUUGGGAUAUUAUAUCUAAUACAGACUAUUUUAUCCCAUUUGGGAGAUUGGUCCCAACCUUCAUGUAUUAAUUAAAGGAGUUAACAAGAUUCAAUUAACCUGAGUAUGUUAGCUUGAUUAAAUGUUAAUCUGAUUAAAAUACGAAUAAAAUUGAGCCUUAUUUUGACAAUGUUACUCUAGUCUUUUUUUAUAAAACAAACUGUUAAAUCUGUCCAGUCAUUGAUUCAUUGCGUUUAUCAGCAGCUGUUGAUUCGGGGUAGGGGUUGAGGUGGGCGUUAGAAACAAAAGGGUCAUUGGGAUACUCUUAUCAAUUGCCUCAUAGAGAAUUACCAUGAAAGAUAAAAAAGGAAAAUUUAUACUUUGCGCCACAAUAUGUAUAUUAGAAUGUUUCAUAAUGGAAGCAAACAAAUGGAUGACACGAAACGCUUUUAAUAGCCAUCAUAUUUGAGAAUGCUAUCACAGUACGUUC
rnacentral:misc_RNA from 1 species